rnacentral:tRNA from 1 species
GGGGAUGUGGCGAAAUUGGUAGCCGCACCAGGUUUAGGUCUUGGCGUUGAAAUAUACGUGUGGGUUCGAGUCCCUCCAUCCCUA